rnacentral:rRNA from 1 species
UACGUAGGUGACCAGCGUUGUCCGGAUUUACUGGGCGUAAAGAGCGCGCAGGCGGUCGUUCAAGUCGAGUGUGAAAGCCCCCCGGCUCAACUGGGGAGGGUCAUUCGAUACUGAUCGACUCGAAGGCAGGAGAGGGACACGGAACUCCGGGUGGAGUGGUGAAAUGCGUAGAUAUCCGGAAGAACACCAAAGGCGAAGGCAGUGUCCUGGCUGGUACCUGACGCUCAGGUGCGAAAGCUAGGGGAGCGAACGGG